GGCGCUAUAGUGUAGUGGUUAUCACUUGGGAUUCUGAUUUCCGCUCCUUGCGAUGCGACGUCGUAUAUUCCCAUAACCCAGGUUCGAGCCCUGGUAGCGCCU